GGAUGGGUGCCCGAGCCUGGCCGAAGGGGCAGCACUGGAAAUGCUGUGUACCGCUUUGCGGUACCGAGGGUUCGAAUCCCUCCCCAUCCG
rnacentral:tRNA from 1 species